AAGAAAGUAAGAAAGAGUAUACGGGGGAUGCCUUGGCUCUCAGAGGCGAUGAAAGACGUGAUAAGCUGCGAUAAGCCGUGGGGAUUAGCAAAUAUGAAUUGAUCCGCGGAUUUCUGAAUGGGGAAACCUAGCUAGUUGAAGACUAGUUGCACAUAGUGCGCAAACCUGCCGAACUGAAACAUCUAAGUAAGCAGAGGAAGAGAAAAUAACAAUGAUUUCCUAAGUAGUGGCGAGCGAAAGGGAAAGAGCCCAAACCAUUUAUGUUACGGCAUAACUGGGGUUGUAGGACUACGAUGUGUCAUUGGCCUAAUGAACUGGAAUGGGAUGGGAAGCCCAGCGAUAAACGGUGAUAGCCCGGUACAGGAAAGUGAAGCCAGGCUAGUAGUAUCCUGAGUACCGCGAGGUCGGAGACGCCUUGUGGGAAUCUGCCGGCACCAUCCGGUAAGGCUAAAUACUCCUGAGAGACCGAUAGUGAACCAGUACCGUGAGGGAAAGGU
rnacentral:rRNA from 1 species